GACGAACGCUGGCGGCGUGCCUAAUACAUGCAAGUCGUGCGGAGUUGUUCCUUCGGGGACAGCUUAGCGGCGGACGGGUGAGUAACACGUAGGCAACCUGCCCUUAGGCCCGGGAUAACUGGCGGAAACGCCUGCUAAUACCGGAUAAUCGAUUUUCUCGCCUGGGAGAGUCGUGAAAGCUGCUUCGGCAGCACUUGAGGAUGGGCCUGCGGCGCAUUAGCUAGUUGGCGGGGUAACGGCCCACCAAGGCGACGAUGCGUAGCCGACCUGGGAGGGUGAUCGGCCACACUGGGACUGAGACACGGCCCAGACUCCUACGGGAGGCAGCAGUAGGGAACCUUCGGCAAUGGACGAAAGUCUGACCGAGCAACGCCGCGUGAGUGAGGAAGGUCUUUGGAUCGUAAAGCUCUGUUGCCAGGGAAGAACAGCCUGGGGAGGGAAUGCCCUAGGCUUGACGGUACCUGAGAAGAAAGCCCCGGCUAACUACGUGCCAGCCGCCGCCGUAAUAC
rnacentral:rRNA from 1 species